rnacentral:miRNA from 1 species
CGGAACUUUCCAAGGAACAG